UUGGUAAAAGAAAGAUUAAAUCCAAAAAAAAAAAAAAGACAGAUCUAGAGGAAUGGUUAUCUACCAAUCUGUAACUCACAUUCCAAAAAGUUAGGCAAAUCUGAGCAAAAAUGGAAACAGCCCAAAAUUUGACAUAGGCUAAUAUUGCCUCUGGCGCCUUAAUUAUUUAUGCAUUAUGGAUAUAAUGAAGUACAUCUCUUGCUAAGUUUUAGAGGUAAUUUGGUUCCAUGCCCCUGCAAGCAGAGGUUUCUUCCUCAGCUGUGUGGCAGAUCUGAGAUUUAAUAACAGGGGGGUAUAAAUUAAAUUAUGCCCUGUGACAGCUUUGAUAUUUUUAUUUUACUAGAUAAAUGAAUGGUACACUUGGACAAAGAUGCCAGUGGUACUGAUUUGCUUGAAAAAUGGAUAGCCAUGUUUUUCAUGUCCAUCAGAAUUAGAGUCAUUUUUUUUGUCCUUUGUGAAAUUUGCAUUUCAAAGAAGCAUUAUGGAGUCUUUUGGAAGAAGAUGUGAUCAAUG